GUGCCAGCAGCCGCGGUAAUACGAGGGGUGCAAGCGUUGCUCGGAAUUAUUGGGCGUAAAGGGCAGGUAGGUGGUCUUAUUUGUCUGGGGUGAAAUCCUUCGGCUUAACCGGAGAAGUGCCCCAGAAACGGUAAGACUAGAGUCUCAGAGAGGGUCGUGGAAUUCCCGGUGUAGCGGUGAAAUGCGUAGAGAUCGGGAGGAACACCAGCGGCGAAGGCGGCGACCUGGAUGAGUACUGACACUCAACUGCGAAAGCGUGGGGAGCAAACAGGAUUAGAUACCCUGGUAGUCC
rnacentral:rRNA from 1 species